rnacentral:pre_miRNA from 1 species
GUAAUACCCCCUCCGUUCGGAAUUACUUGUCACAAAAAUGUAUGUAUCUACAACUAAAAUACAUCUAGAUACAUUCAUUUCUUGGACGAGUAAUUCCGAAUGGAGGGAGUAUAAC